rnacentral:rRNA from 1 species
AUUGAACGCUGGCGGCAUGCCUUACACAUGCGAGUCGAACGGUAACAGGUCUUCGGAUGCUGACGAGUGGCGAACGGGUGAGUAAUACAUCGGAACGUGCCUAGUAGUGGGGGAUAACUACUCGAAAGAGUGGCUAAUACCGCAUGAGAUCUACGGAUGAAAGCAGGGGAUCGCAAGACCUUGUGCUACUAGAGCGGCCGAUGGCAGAUUAGGUAGUUGGUGGGAUAAAAGCUUACCAAGCCGACGAUCUGUAGCUGGUCUGAGAGGACGAUCAGCCACACUGGGACUGAGACACGGCCCAGACUCCUACGGGAGGCAGCAGUGGGGAAUUUUGGACAAUGGGCGAAAGCCUGAUCCAGCGAUGCCGCGUGCAGGAUGAAGGCCUUCGGGAUGUAAACUGCUUUUGCACGGAACGAAAAGCCCCGGGUUAAUACCCUGGGGUCAUGACGGUACCGUAAGAAUAAGCACCGGCUAACUACGUGCCAGCAGCCGCGGUAA